CCUAACACAUGCANGUCGAGCGGUAGCACANANAGCUUGCUCUCGGGUGACNAGCGGCGGACGGGUGAGUAAUGUCUGGGAAACUGCCUGAUGGAGGGGGAUAACUACUGGAAACGGUAGCUAAUACCGCAUAACGUCGCAAGACCAAAGUGGGGGACCUUCGGGCCUCAUGCCAUCAGAUGUGCCCAGAUGGGAUUAGCUAGUAGGUGGGGUAACGGCUCACCUAGGCGACGAUCCCUAGCUGGUCUGAGAGGAUGACCAGCCACACUGGAACUGAGACACGGUCCAGACUCCUACGGGAGGCAGCAGUGGGGAAUAUUGCACAAUGGGCGCAAGCCUGAUGCAGCCAUGCCGCGUGUGUGAAGAAGGCCUUCGGGUUGUAAAGCACUUUCAGCGGGGAGGAAGGCGAUAAGGUUAAUAACCUUGUCGAUUGACGUUACCCGCAGAAGAAGCACCGGCUAACUCCGUGCCAGCAGCCGCGGUAAUACGGAGGGGUGCAAGCGUUAAUCGGAAUUACUGGGGCGUAAAAGCGCACGCAGGCGGUCUGUCAAGUCGGAUGUGAAAUCCCCGGGCUCAACCUGGGAACUGCAUUCGAAACUGGCAGGCUAGAGUCUUGUAGAGGGGGGUAGAAUUCCAGGUGUAGCGGUGAAAUGCGUAGAGAUCUGGAGGAAUACCGGUGGCGAAGGCGGCCCCCUGGACAAAGACUGACGCUCAGGUGCGAAAGCGUGGGGAGCAAACAGGAUUAGAUACCCUGGUAGUCCACGCCGUAAACGAUGUCGAUUUGGAGGUUGUGCCCUUGAGGCGUGGCUUCCGGAGCUAACGCGUUAAAUCGACCGCCUGGGGAGUACGGCCGCAAGGUUAAAACUCAAAUGAAUUGACGGGGGCCCGCACAAGCGGUGGAGCAUGUGGUUUAAUUCGAUGCAACGCGAAGAACCUUACCUGGUCUUGACAUCCACAGAAACUUUCCAGAGAUGGAUUGGUGCCUUCGGGAACUGUGAGACAGGUGCUGCAUGGCUGUCGUCAGCUCGUGUUGUGAAAUGUUGGGUUAAGUCCCGCAACGAGCGCAACCCUUAUCCUUUGUUGCCAGCGGUCCGGCCGGGAACUCAAAGGAGACUGCCAGUGAUAAACUGGAGGAAGGUGGGGAUGACGUCAAGUCAUCAUGGCCCUUACGACCAGGGCUACACACGUGCUACAAUGGCAUAUACAAAGAGAAGCGACCUCGCGAGAGCAAGCGGACCUCAUAAAGUAUGUCGUAGUCCGGAUUGGAGUCUGCAACUCGACUCCAUGAAGUCGGAAUCGCUAGUAAUCGUAGAUCAGAAUGCUACGGUGAAUACGUUCCCGGGCCUUGUACACACCGCCCGUCACACCAUGGGAGUGGGUUGCAAAAGAAGUAGGUAGCUUAACCUUCGGGAGGGCGCUUACCAC
rnacentral:rRNA from 2 species